AUGCUUCUACUUUCUGUAUGGAGCUGGGAGCGUCUGCCUGUUGGACGCCCGAAGAGCGUCAGGUUUAAUCCAUGGUAUGAAGAUGAACAUGACGAAUUACGGCGCCCCACUUGGGCUUACAAGUGGGAUGUGGUUUCCGAGAUGACGAACGAUGUCAAUCUCAUGUACCAGAAGUACGUUGCCGAGUUGGACACGAUUACGCCUGAGCAGGUGGAAUGGCAGCCAUAUGGCGCCGAUGACAGACUUGGGUACACCCCGGAGUUUAGCAUCAACCCGAUGUGCUUGCGGAUAGGGAUCUCUGGCUUAUGCGGUGCCCACUGA
rnacentral:rRNA from 1 species